UAGAGCGGCGGACGGGUGAGUAACACGUGGACAAUCUGCCCCCCGGCCCGGGAUAGCCCAGGGAAACCUGGAUUAAUACCGGAUGAGACGGGACCCGCGAUGGCGGGAUCCGGGAAAGCGCUGCGGCGCCGCCGGGGGAUGAGUCUGCGUCCCAUUAGCUAGACGGCGGGGUAACGGCCCACCGUGGCGACGAUGGGUAGCCGGCCUGGGAGGGUGGACGGCCACAUUGGAACUGAGACACGGUCCAGACUCCUACGGGAGGCAGCAGCUAAGAAUCUUCCGCAAUGGGCGAAAGCCUGACGGAGCGAACCGCCGCGUGAACGAAGAAGGCCGUGAGGUUGUAAAGUUCUUUUCGGGAGGGGGAACAACCGUGGCAGGGAAUGGCCGCGGGAUGACGUGAAUCCCGGAAUAAGCCCCGGCUAACUACGUGCCAGCCGCCGC
rnacentral:rRNA from 1 species